GGGUUGACUGCCAUGGAGGAAGGAUCUCUCUCUGGAGAUUUUUCCUCUUGGAGUCUUUUUCUGUGAGCCUAGGAUGCUCAGUUGAUGCUUUACAGCCCCACGUUCAUGAGGAAUCCUAAUUACCAAUUCUAUCCUAUCUCUCCCAAAUCCUGAUGAAGUCCGUAUACUCUUGGGUGCAAGCUGCCUCUAUAUUCCAGUACCUCUUAUGGCACACUUCUGACCACCAGGCCAACCUGCUGCCCACCAAGAUCCCCAGAUCCUUCUCCACACAGCUCCUCUCCAGCAGGU